rnacentral:rRNA from 1 species
GCCUGAGAGGGUGAACGGCCACAUUGGGACUGAGACACGGCCCAAACUCCUACGGGAGGCAGCAGUGGGGAAUAUUGCACAAUGGGGGAAACCCUGAUGCAGCGACGCCGCGUGAAGGAAGAAGUAUUUCGGUAUGUAAACUUCUAUCAGCAGGGAAGAAAAUGACGGUACCUGACUAAGAAGCCCCGGCUAACUACGUGCCAGCAGCCGCGGUAAU